rnacentral:rRNA from 1 species
UACGGAGGGUGCAAGCGUUGUCCGGAUUUAUUGGGUUUAAAGGGUGCGUAGGCGGCCCGAUAAGUCAGUGGUGAAAGCCUCCAGCUCAACUGGAGAACUGCCAUUGAUACUGUCGGGCUUGAGUACAGACGAGGUAGGCGGAAUUGAUUGUGUAGCGGUGAAAUGCAUAGAUACAAUCAAGAACUCCGAUUGCGUAGGCAGCUUACUAGGCUGUAACUGACGCUGAGGCACGAAAGCGUGGGGAGCGAACAGG